rnacentral:rRNA from 1 species
GACGAACGCUGGCGGCGUGCUUAACACAUGCAAGUCGAACGGAAAGGCCCUGCUUUUGUGGGGUGCUCGAGUGGCGAACGGGUGAGUAACACGUGAGUAACCUGCCCUUGACUUUGGGAUAACUUCAGGAAACUUGGGCUAAUACCGGAUAGGAGCUCCUGCUGCAUGGUGGGGGUUGGAAAGUUUAGGGGGUUGGGGAUGGACUCGCGGCUUAUCAGCUUGUUGGUGGGGUAGUGGCUUACCAAGGCUUUGACGGGUAGCCGGCCUGAGAGGGUGACCGGCCACAUUGGGACGGGGAUACGGCACAGACUCCUACGGGAGGCAGCAGUGGGGAAUAGUGUACAAUGGGCGGAAGCCUGAUGCAGCAACGCCGCGUGCGGGAUGACGGCCUUCGGGUUGUAAUCCGCUGUCGCCUGUGACGAAGCGUGAGUGACGGUAAUGGGUAAAGAAGCACCGGCUAACUACGUG